rnacentral:tRNA from 1 species
AGUAAAAUGGCCGAAACUGAGGUGAUAAAUUGUAAAUUUAUUUAUGAAGAUGUCUUCUUUUACU